AUUCGAUGCAACGCGAAGAACCUUACCAGGUCUUGACAUACUCGGAAUCUUUUGGAAGCAAAGGAGUGCCUUCGGGAACCGAGAUACAGGUGGUGCAUGGCUGUCGACAGCUCGUGUCGUGAGAUGUUGGGUUAAGUCCCGCAACGAGCGAAACCCCUAUCAUUAGUUGCCAUCAUUAAGUUGGGGACUCUAAUGAAACUGCCUGCGAAGAGCAGGAGGAAGGUGGGGAUGACGUCAAGUCAUCAUGCCCCUUAUGAUCUGGGCUACACACGUGCUACAAUGGGUAGUACAAAGAGGAGCGAAAUAGCGAUAUGGAGCAAAUCUCAAAAGCUACUCUCAGUUCGGAUUGAAGUCUGCAACUCGACUUCAUGAAGUUGGAAUCACUAGUAAUCGUAAAUCAGCAAUGUUGCGGUGAAUACGUUCCCGGGCCUAGUACAC
rnacentral:rRNA from 1 species